UCAAAACAUUUGGUGGAUACCUAGGCACUCAGAGAUGAUGAAGGGCGUGGGCAACUGCGAAAAGCUCCGACGAGUUGAGCACAAACGUUGACUCGGAGAUUCCCGAAUAGGGCAACCUCAUAGUACCUUUUCUUAAAUUCAUAAUAGAAAUAGGAAGUAACCUAGCGAACUGAAACAUCUUAGUAGCUAGAGGAAUAGAAAGCAAAAGCGAUUUCCAAAGUAGUGGUGAGCGAAAUGGAAACAGCCUAAACCAAUAAAAAUUUAUUGGGGUCGUGGGAAAAACUGAAAAAAGGACAAAAUAAGGAAUUAGUGAAACAAUUGAAUGUUGUACCGUAGACGGUGAAAGUCCAGUAGCUUAACUUAAAAAUCCUUUGGUUUUAUCCCGAGUAGCAUGGGACCCGUGAAAUCCCGUGUGAAUCCACGAGGACCACCUCGUAAGGCUAAAUAUUCCUGAGUGACCGAUAGCGUAUAAGUACCGCGAGGGAAAGGUGAAAAGAACCCCAGUAGGGGAGUGAAAUAGAACAUGAAACCAAUUGCUGACAAUCAGUGGGAAGGGUUUUACCCUGACCGCGUACCUGUUGAAGAAUGGGCCGGCGAGUUAUAUGUAGUGGCAGGGUAAAAAAGAUCUUUUAAGCCUCAGCG
rnacentral:rRNA from 1 species